AUAUCUUUUCUUCCAGAUGUCGAAUGUCCAGAGCAAAGCUCGCGUGUGGAAAGAGUUUGACCAUACCGUCAUAGAGACAAAUCUCACCAUCUAGUACGAUAUGGAUGCGCUUGGGGGUCUCCGGGGGAAACCCCCGUUUGGUUGCCUGACGACGCGCCCACGCCAGCAUCACUUUCCGGGGCGCAUAACUGCCCCAUACUUGCUUAUUGAGCGGCCCAUGGAGCUUCCCAUCCUCUCCGCGUUUCAACGUAUACAUCACCAC
rnacentral:misc_RNA from 1 species